ensembl:lncRNA
UGAAGACAGAGGAGCAGAGCCAGAGGAACAGAACCAGAGGAGCAGACAGGAGCAGCAUGAUGACGACCUCUGUGAAGGUUUUGGCUGUGGUUCUUUUUCUCUACAUAAACUCAGCUGUUGGUCUUCAGUGCUGGUUUUGUGGAGAUGGUUCUUGUUCUUCUCAGACGUCAGUGAAAUGCUCUUCAGGACAGACCCUUUGUGUGUCCAGAUAUUAUCAAGUCACGUAUGGGAACUACAGUUAUAACCAGACCUAUAAACGCUGUGCCUUUAGCUCGGACUGUACAGCUGAAGAAUCUGAGUUUGUUUCAUAUAUUUAUGGCUCCAAGUCUUAUGUUUCAAACACCACGUGCUGCGACACAGACAACUGCAACUACAUGACUGCAUCCAUUACGGUGCCCCCUGUGGGCUCUCUGAAGUGUUACAGCUGUGAUCCCUCCUCAUAUGAAUGCACUGCCAAUGUGAGCUGUAAGGCCCAGGAGGUCUGUGGACAGGCUGUGUUCGACCCAGAUGGCACACCUUCCCCUUUUCAUGGCUGUGUCUCUGAGAAUCUGUGCAACAACCCCACUCUGUCUCAAAAAUAUUUGUACUACGGAACCCCUGUGUCCUGCUGCAACACUUCACACUGCAAUGUGCCAGAUCUGGGGUUACAGUGUAUGACGUGCACAGACUCAUCAUGUUCUUCUCAGCGCUCAGUGACCUGCUCCAAACUCGCCCCCUUGUGUUUCUCUCGGGCCUAUGCAGGUUCUUAUAAUUAUGGAAAUGGCACUUACAGUGAGAUCUAUAAAGGCUGUGCUUCUGCCUCGGUCUGUGCUUCUGGAGUUUUUGUUUCUUUUAACUAUGGCUCCCAGUCUUACUUCGGAAAGUCCACGUGCUGCGACACAGACGACUGCAACGCUCUGGACCCGUCCCUGCCCCCUGCUGGCUCUCUGCAGUGUUACAGCUGUGACCCAUACACAGAAGAAUGUUCUGCAAAUGUGACCUGCAACACCCUGGAGACCUGCUUCUCUGUCUCUGACGGGACCUACAGUUUUUACGGAUGUGUCUCUGAGAAUCUGUGUGACAACCUCACCCUCUCCCAGGAAUACUUUUACACCAGAAAGCCAUUGUCCUGCUGCAGCACAAGCCACUGCAACGUCCCUCAGUCCCUGCUCAUAUCCACAGACACGCCGCCAGUCACCACAGAGGCCCCGCCCUCCUCAGACUCGAAGGAGGACCAGGAUUUUUCAGUGUUUUCAGGAGCUGUGCAGGUUCUGUCUCCAGCUCUGCUCCUGUCUCUGCUGCUGCCCGGUGUUCACAUGUUUAACUUUAUUGUGUAAGAUUCUAUGGGUGGGGAUAGGAGGAAGUUGAAAAUGGAAAUUUUCUGAGCUCUCAAGCCUCAAAAGAAUCAGAAUACAACUGAGUAAGAAAAUGAGAAAACACUGUUCUAACAUGUUCAAAGCUCAUACGUUGAUUUAGCAGAAUGUGCCUUCUUUAUUAACAAUAGUGGUUUUCACAGCAGGGUUUUGUUCUGGGUGUGUGGAGAGUCAUUACGUCUUUAAUUAUUUGUAUUGCAUGUUUGUGUAUCUUUGAGCUCUUUGGUUUUAAAAUGUAAAGUGUGUGACAAAUAAAAGAUAUUUC